UAAAUAGCCCGGCCGGCUUUGGCUGGCCGCUGGCUUCUUAGAGGGACAGCUGGCGUUUAGCCAGUGGAAGUGAGGCAAUAACAGGUCUGUGAUGCCCUUAGAUGUUCUGGGCCGCACGCGCGCUACACUGACCGAGCCAGCGAGUUUUCAUUCCUUGGCCGGAAGGCCUG
rnacentral:rRNA from 1 species